CCCUUUUCUUUCCAAUCGUUUCCAUUUCUUCUCCAACUCUUAUAUCCACAUCUCCUUAGGUAGACUGGGGUGUUAUGACCGAGAAGCACAAAGUACUUUACAGGAUAGAUCACUAAUGUUUUCAAAAAGAGCUCAUGCAGAGGAUAGACUUACGUACAGAGGCGGUGGAGCCAAGGCCUAGGUAACUGCACAGUCUGGAUGGUUCUUUUGUCACUGCUGCUCAGCUGACAAUAUCCUAUGACUGAUCAAUUAUUUCUUUCCCAAGCAGUGAAGCUAGUGUCAUCCAAGGGCUUCCAGAAGAGACAGAAGAUAUUUCCUCCCCGGGACCAUGGACCCAAGCGGGAUAUGGAGCAGCACGUGUUCCCGGGUUCCGAGCAAUUUGCUUUCAGCAGGGCUAAUGAGAGCUUCGAGAUCUCUGCAGUCAUCUCCAGAAAGGGCUCAGAGAUACGCGCAGGAAACUGAGACCCAAGUGCCCACGCAUCACAACUUCAUUCAGCAGUGGUCCACCACAGUGCCGCUGCCGUCACGGUCCCCACCCAGGGGAGGGCUGCUCCUAAGGCCAAUGGACUCAGUGCUGCAGUGAAGAUGCAAAGCUUCCGCUCCCUGUACCCAUACCUGGGCCGUUCCAGCUGACCUGGAGCAAAGGAGGCUCUUCUGGGCACUGAUUCUCCCUGAAAGCCGACCAGGUGGAGCUCAUUCCGGCAGGCCUCCUUGCACCCUCACCUCUUUCCUGGUAGGAUCCAGAGAUCUGCCCCGCCUCUCCCGUGGGGGCUGCUGGGUAGGGCCUCUGCUUCCCAUGGAUCACAGUGCAGUUCCCCGCGGCCUCGCCGAGUGUUGUGAGCUCAACAAGUGUUGCGGUAGGGCGCUCAACUCUUCCAAAGGAAGGCCCCACUAGCAUCUUGGAAGCUGCAAAAUAAAGGAGACAUGAGUUCGAUUGCUGGGUCGGAAAGAGCCCCUGGAGAAGGAAACGGCAACACACUCUAGUAUUCUUGCCUGGGAAAUCCCAUGGACAAGGAACGUGGCUGGCUACAAUUUAUGGAAUCUCAAAACAGUCAGACACAGAUGAGCGAUUAAACAACUCUUAUUUAAGUACUUCUGUCACCUGGAGAUGCUGCUUCCCCUUAGCCUCUGAGUCUUUUAAUAUGUUAUUCCCUCUGCCUGGAACACAGUUUUUGACGGCCAACGAAAUGCCAACAGUUGGCAUUUGAAUCAUUGUGGUGAUUAAUUUUAUGUGUCAUCUUGAUUGGGCUAAGGGGUGCCCAGAUAACCUGUGAAACAUUUCUGGAUAUGUCUGCAAGGAUGUUUCUGAAAGAGAUAAGCACUGAAUUUGUAGACUGAGUAAAGAAAAACACAUUCCCCAGUGUGGGAGGACAUCAGCCAGUUGGUUGAAGACAUGAAUAGAAAAAAAGACUGAGGAAGGGUGAAGUUGCUGUAUGCUUGGACAGCCAUCUUCUUCUUUCUUCAGACAUAGGUAUUCCUGGUUCUCAGACUUUUAGAUUUGGACUGCCUUAUCCUUUCUUCCCCUAGCUUCCCUUGUUCUCUAGCUUGCAGAUGGCAGGCCAUGGAGCUUUUCAGUCUCCAUAAUUGUAUGACCAUUACUUACAAUAAAUCUCCUCAUACAUAAUUUAUUAGUUCUGUUUCUCUAGAGAACCCUGACUAAUACAGAUGUCAAUACAGAUAUGUCUUAGGUUCCUUUACUUGUAUAUAAUACCAAAAAAAACCAACCCUCAUAUACACACAUCCAGAUCCAACUCAUAAGCUUCUUUUAUUGCCAGCUCCCUCACCCAGAAAGAUUAAAAUUCCCUGGUGCCCGCAGGCUUGGCCUAAAGAAGAGACACCAGGCUUCCUUUUCGUGCAGCCCUUUGGGUGUAGCUGCUGUUCCCGUUGAUCCCUGCUCUAUGUGUGCCCAACUGGUUUACCUCUUUGAUUCAACCUCAUCUGUUAUUUACACACAUUCAAACGAGCACUUAACAAUAGUGGUCAUAGCAGUCCCUUAGGUUUUUCAGUCCUAGAAAUUUCUACUUAUUUAGCCAAUGUCUUCUAAUCAUCUAAAAGGAGACUCAGCUCAUAAUUAAUAAAAAUUGAAAAAGCCAGGUCCUAAAGGAAUUUCUCAAGAUUUCUACUGAUUCAGCAUUCUUCACUCGCCCACUGCAGACCAGUCACAUUUCACUUAUCCCAGGGCCCUUAAUUUUGAUGUUUCUUCUUCCUGGAAGAUUUCCCUGUGUCCCUCACCCUUGGUCUUGCUGGGUUCCCCCACCAAGGAUUCCUAAAUACCUUUUACUUCCCUGUGACCUUCUCUGUGCUAGACUAUCUCUUGUCUGUGCUCUGAGCUUCCUCAAGGCAGAGUGUGUAUUUGUCAAGGCUCUCGCUAUAUCCAUAGGACCUGGCAUAUGGUAGCUGCAUGAUAAAUAGAGCUGAACAAAUAAAUAAAACAAACUGUGGCGAGAAUAGAGCUUGCAUUAAAAGUUUAUCUCCACUUUCCCCCUUUAUCCCCAGGAGACCCCAUCCUCCAGAAUUUAAAGAAGAAAGUUGAACCCUUCUCACUUUAAGCCUAUCUUAAAAGCUGCUUUUAGAAACUCCAGUGCACACUCACACACCAUUAUAUGUUAUUUUAGGCUGGUGUAAUAAUAAAACUGUCAAUCCUAUGAAUAAGAACUGUUUCUUUACUUGGAUUCUUGCUCAUGUUCGUGUAUAUUUAUGUAUUACUAGAAAAGCAGCAUUCUUAAGAUUUCUUAGAUUGUUUUGAUAAGAUGUGACUCUACUUUUCCCAGCCUUUCUUAUUAUAAGAAUCUUUAACAAGCGCUUUAAACAGUUUUGCACAUGCUACCUUACAUUUUCAUGUGAUGUAAAGU
ensembl:lncRNA